UACGUAGGGUGCGAGCGUUGUCCGGAAUUACUGGGCGUAAAGAGCUCGUAGGUGGUUUGUCGCGUUGUUCGUGAAAUCUCACGGCUUAACUGUGAGCGUGCGGGCGAUACGGGCAGACUGGAGUACUGCAGGGGAGACUGGAAUUCCUGGUGUAGCGGUGGAAUGCGCAGAUAUCAGGAGGAACACCGGUGGCGAAGGCGGGUCUCUGGGCCGAUACUGACGCUGAGGAGCGAAAGCGUGGGGAGCGAACAGG
rnacentral:rRNA from 1 species